UAGGGAAUCUUCGGCAAUGGGGGCAACCCUGACCGAGCAACGCCGCGUGAGUGAAGAAGGUUUUCGGAUCGUAAAGCUCUGUUAUAAGUCAAGAACGAGUGUGAGAGUGGAAAGUUCACACUGUGACGGUAGCUUACCAGAAAGGGACGGCUAACUACGUGCCAGCAGCCGCGGUAAUACGUAGGUCCCGAGCGUUGUCCGGAUUUAUUGGGCGUAAAGCGAGCGCAGGCGGUUUGAUAAGUCUGAAGUUAAAGGCUGUGGCUCAACCAUAGUUCGCUUUGGAAACUGUCAAACUUGAGUGCAGAAGGGGAGAGUGGAAUUCCAUGUGUAGCGGUGAAAUGCGUAGAUAUAUGGAGGAACACCGGUGGCGAAAGCGGCUCUCUGGUCUGUAACUGACGCUGAGGCUCGAAAGCGUGGGGAGCGAACAGGAUUAGAUACCCUGGUAGUCCACGCCGUAAACGAUGAGUGCUAGGUGUUGGAUCCUUUCCGGGAUUCAGUGCCGCAGCUAACGCAUUAAGCACUCCGCCUGGGGAGUACGACCGCAAGGUUG
rnacentral:rRNA from 1 species